CGAAAGAUGAUGCGGGAUGCCAGCGCCCUUCGGAGCGGUGAUUUGUGCGUUUCCGGGUGUGUGUUCAUUGCUCAGGUGCAGUGAGAGUAGAGUUACCUCUUGCACUGGCUUGUCUCCUCUGUGCCUGUCCUAGGAAGAUUUUUCAGGAUAGCGGCGUUUAAAAAAGUGUAAAGAGCUUGGACUGAAAAAGAGAAAAACCCACAAAUAUUGGCUGUUUCUUAAAACUGUUUGAAUUUUCAGGACUCCGUUUAAAUUUGGGUUAGAAAUAUUUAUACGUAAAGUAACACAAAAGAAAAGAUUCUGUUUUCUUAAGUAGUGUCAAAACUGGUCAAAGAUAAUUGAAGAGUAAAAAGAAUAUGUGGGAAAGAUGGAGAAAAUAACAAGGACAAAGACAGCAGCCAGUCUGUCUCAGGAGGGUCAAUUGAAUUUGUACAGAGGCUAAGCUGGUAAAUAUCAUAUACCUACAAUUUGGAGAUGCAGAUUCUUCAGUUCAGACUCUGUGACCUGCAAGCAAUCAUCUUAAUUUUUCUGUUUGCAUGCGAAAGGAUUUAAGAUAAGACUGAGAUACAUGUAGAAAAUAAUAUUUUGGCAAACCAUAUCAUGUAACACAAAAUACCUGUAAGCAGAAAACAUUAUUGCCAUAAAAUUAAAGAACUGAAACACGAGAAAACACUUUUCAGAAGAUAUUUUUUUUAAUUUCCAGUUUCAGUUUCACUGCUACCUGCAGCAGUGGAGGAGAAAGCUGACAUAUUGGGGCACAGCCUUGUGCUGAUGCAGUUACAGGGCUGGGCCAGCCUAAGUGCAUCAGGGAGUCUGGUGCCCCAGACUCCCCUUUCACAGAAUGAUUGAGGUUGGAAGGAACCUCUGGAGAUCGCCUAGUCCAACCCACCUGCUAAAGCAGGUACACCCAGAGAAGAUUGCACAGGAAUGUGUCCGGGUUGGCCUUGAAUGUCUCCAAAGAAGAAGACUCCACAACCUCUCUGGGCAGCCUGUUCUAGUGCUCUCUCACCCUUUCUGGCACAGCCACACUGCAAGCCCAGGAACUCAUGUGUAUGCAUUAGCCAAGCAGCUGAGCAGUCAAUAUCCCUGUGAUGAACCUGUCAGAAAAGGAAGAAUAGGGCAGGUUUAUAGCCUUGCAGGAUUUGGCUGUUGCAACAAGUGAGAGUGCUGGGAGCUACCUGCCUUGCACUGGGCAAGACUCAGCCCAGUUGUCCCCACUGCAGUGACACUCCCAAUUAGGAGGUAUUUCACUGUGGUGGUGUUGCACCAGAGUGAGUCCCUGCCAGUCAGCAAAGCUGCAUAGCCCAAAAUCACACUUUGGUUGGAGUGCCAUCCAGAACUGGAGUGCAGGUACACCUGGAAGGGAGAAGGACAGCAAGGAUGUUUUGUGACAGCCAUGAGCUCCGUUACAAAAUAAACUUUCUAGGUAAAGGGAUUUCUAGAUACAGAUUCAUGGAUAGAUUAACUCCUUUGAUAACAAUUUAUACUUCAUUGAUCUUGCUACAUUUUAAUGACACUGAGGCUAAAUACACCCUGCUAGAAAAAUUAUGUGUGAUUGUGUGAGAGUCGGUCCGAAGAUGGAGCAGUAUUUGCUUGAAGAUCGCCAUCAAGAACGUAGAGAACUGAAGUCCUGACAGAAAGAAUGCAUGGACAAUGACUUGGAGAGAAGCCCGAGAAGAAGCAUUGUGUUGCACUGUUUCUCCGAUUCAGGGGGGUGCUACUAACAAUGGCUGCUGUGUGGACUUUGCCUGCUGCUUCAGCCAAACGAGCCCCAGCCUUCUGAAAGCUAUUGUUAUGAGGUUCUCUCUGACAAUAGCUGCCGUCCAGAAGAAUGCGUUCUCACCUGCAGCCUCAGUAACAUGUGUCCCUCACCUGCUCCCUCAAACAAUGGCCAGCGAAAAGGAACCUGCCCAGAAGCUUGCCAAGGGUCCUGAGGUCACCCAAUGGACCAGAAAAAGACCCCUGAAUGCUGGACACGUAAGCAUUGGCAAAAGAAAGCAUGAAUCUUUCGAGCCUGUGCAGUACGAGCCUGGGUUACGAAAUCAAGGCGGAGACUGGCCUAAAACAAUGAGAGCAAGGGGGGGCGAAGAAGCAUAAAAGAUUACUCCAGAAUGGACAUUUUGGAAGAUCUUUCCACCAGAGGAUCCCGAACCAUGACGGAGGACCGUCAGGACUCCAUGGGACCGGAGACCAGAGGGACGCUUCUCGAACCGGACUGGUGAUAAAUGCAACCUCAUUUUCUCAUCUUUACUCUUACUUUUUCCCUGUUUCUUUUCCCUUUUCUCUUUCUUACUCUCUCUCUCUAUCACGUGCCGCUUUACAGGCAAAUUAAUAAAGUAACACUGUUUGACUGAAUUAUAACCCCUUGGCAUUUUGGUUGCCUUAAUUUUGCGCUCUGAGAUCAAGGUAAAAGAACCAUCACAAGUCCAUCAUCAAAUGGACCGUGACAGAUUGAUAGAUAUAUCUAGGUUUAUAGAUAGCCUUUUUUUUAUUAAAAUAAAACUUUUUUUUUUUUUAUAUAGCUUGAAGUUAUUAGUCCUAAAAUUUUCAUAAAUGAAAAAAUAAUGCAAGCAGACAAACACACAGACACAGAUCUGCAUAUGAAUGUGUACCAGUUACACACACCCUGAUAAGGUCUGGAGCUUUCAAUAUGGGAGCUACUGACCAUUUCACACCUUUUGUACCCCACUGUGGCUGUCCUCACAUUUGCACCUAGGUUGGAUGUUAACUGUCCUGUCCUCCUCCUGGGACACGGUGACUCCAGUCAUGUACAUCCCCUUGGCUGGGGAAGCAGGAGGGGCAGGACCUCGGUCAACAGACAGGAUCCUCAGCCAACAAAGUGCCCCGGGCCCAGAGGAACUUCUGAACUGUGCUCAUAGUGACCACAGCCAAAUCCAACCAGGCUAAAAAAAAGAGGCCCCCACUGAAGACCCCCUUGGAGCGGUCUUCUCAGAGCAUAAGGACUAUGAUUGGAGCCCUCUACUUAAACAGAGACACUAUUUAAGGAGACUUCACAGGAUUGAGAGCCCUCACCUCCUCCUUGGAGAGUGAUUAUUUCUCCUGGGUAUAUGAGAUGAGCACUUGCCACCUUCCCCAGUCAAGCAAUUAUUUCUUUUGGGUACCCUCGAAUGAGAGAGGCCUCUUCUUUUGAGUGAGUGUAUGCACGCUGUGGUCAUCAUUCCUGUGUUCUCUUGUAGUAAUAAUAUCCCAAGCUGAUAUAUCCAACCUGCAGUUUGUUAAAAGAUUUUGUAGUGCUGAUUGAUUUUGAAUUACCAUCCCCUCCCCAGCCUAUUGUCUUCUGUCUUUUGGUUGCAAAUUAAAGUUGAUUUAAGAUUAUCAUUUCCCUGAAGUCCUCUUGGGGUGCCUCUGUGACAGUUCACUUUCUCACACGAUACUGCAAUAGCUACAUGUAAGCUAAAAAUUCUUACAGAUAACUUUUUCAUCGACAUUGAAAUAUGUAUACCUCCAUAGAAUAGAAAGAGGACCUUUUUCUCCUUGUCAUUGAACAACAACAAGGAGGGCCAAAGAUACAGGCAUCUCCCAGCCUGCAAGUGAACCUGAUAGUACUGACCAUGCCCCACCAGGAGGACCCAUGGCGGCAUCCUGCGCUAUGUGGGAUUAGAGUACUAUUUAUACUAUCUUUUUGAGACAAUCUGGUCUGCUACAGCAGAAACUAUUUCAUGCUACCAGUUCUGAUUUUGUUUUGACUUUUGUUGCUUCUCAGAAAACACUGCCUUCCACAUCAGUUUUAAAUUCUGACCUCUUCUGUACCCAAAAUAAUAUUCUCUCAAUCUUUUUGUGAAAUACUUUAACCUCUUUAUCACAACAAUAAGUCCCAUCUCUAAAUUUUCAUAGCAGUCCUGUGGAUCUUUCCCUUAACUGUUCAUGUAUUAAAAUUUAUUACAGAGUUUUAGUACUGCACACUAAAAAUCUUCUGGUUUAUGUUUGGUUGAGCUGCAUAUGCUACAUUUCAACCACAUUUUUUAAUUGUUGCACUGAACUGUAGAUACUUAGGAGAGCUGAUCACACAUGCUUUCAGAAUUUAGUGUCCCUUUCAAAGUAUUUGCACUUUGGUUUAAAUCCAGCUGUUUGUUAUUUUUUCUUUUUCUUUUUCUUUUUUUUUUUUUUGGUAAGUGUGUUUUUCUCAUUUAUAGAUAUAAUAACAAACUUGGGUUCAAAUGGCUUGUAUCUAACCCCCUUUUUCCAGCUGAAGGUGUUUUUUGGUCAGAUGUGUCACAGGAUCACUAAAAUUGCAACUGCAGUUAACAAAUAGCUAAUGAAUAUACCCAUCACACUUCCUCUGUCUGUCCUCAAGAAAUGCUGGCUUUCUUUAUAGCUCUGUAUUUAAAUUAAGCAUCAGUUUAAAUGAACCUCAGUUUAGGUAUACAUAUAGGAUUUCAAUAAUAAAGCAAAAAAUGCAACAGUUAAGGUAUUAUCAAAACAGUAAGAAAUAAAAUCAAGGAAAGAUAAACUAAUAAAGAUUGGGCACACUAGGGCCUUUUGCUUUGCUAUUAUGUAUUUUUCCACAAUACAUCAUGCAAGGAAAAUGCAGUAUGUAAUCAGAGUAGAGGUAGAAGGAAUGAAGGCCAUGCCACGCUUUUUUUGAAAAUGAUAUAAUUUCUGCCUGACUGGUAGUCGUGCUUUGAAGGUUAAUUAAAGUUUAUGAAGCACAUCAAGACCUUUGGAUAAAAGGCACGGUGCUAUGAACUUGGAAAUUUGUAAUUUCCAGUACUAAAGAGUGGAAGGCUAAAAUACAAAUGCUUUUGUCUUGACAUGUCAUCUUUGGUUUGGUUGGCAUGAAUUCUGUGUGUAGAUUUAUCCACAAGGAAAUACAAACAGAUUUGUGAUUUCUUUUUGUUUUAACAGAGCUUAUGUGAGAGAGAAUAUUUGUAGUGAUAUGAAGGUAUUGUUGGUCUGAAAUGCCACAGUAACCUUCUCUUUGAAUUUAAAGUAUGUAUUGACUCCAUAAUUUAUUUCAUAUUCUGUUUUUUAUCCCCUUCAAAAUGUGUCAAUGAAAUAGAUAAUAGGUAUUAUUAUUCAGCAAAAGUUCAUACUAGGCUAUAGCAAGUUCUCAGAUGUAAUUUUUCAUGUUGUUUUAAAUAUUCUUAUUUUCUUAUCUGGAUAUACUUUCAAAGGCUUUUUCAGCAGGGAAGUUGCAAGAAUCACACGUGACUGUGACUGAAGCCACGUUUACUUAUGUUUUUAUAAACAAAUCAUACAAGACACAGUAUUGUAGGUAGUCUCACGUACAUUAGUUAGGCUGUGCAAACUCAGCAUAUAAAAAGUUUGAUGUGUUCAGAAAUCAUGUAGCUGAGCGUUGUUUUUAUAUGACUCAACUUGUAAAUGCUUAGACUUAGAAACCACUCUAUUCAGUUAAGCUCAUGUUUCACUAUUGUUUUUGGGGACAAAAGCUCCUGUGAUUUUAAUUUUUAAGUGUUGACAAUUUAUAUCUCACAGUACCUGGCUGCUUAAGGCAGCCUGGACUGGGUUCAAACCAGUCAGUUUGGUGUUACAUGCAUCUCUUACAUAAUUAUAGAAAAUCCUUUUCAAUACAGAAGGUAAAUCAGUGGUAAAGAUAACCUCUCUGAAUACACUAGAUUGACAGAGACAAAAUUAAUAAAAUUCAGUAUAAUAAGGUCGAAUUUUGAUUGCAUCAUGAUAUAAUCCCUGACUGUGACGAUAAGACAUACAAAUGAACUUCUCUUGGUGGCUUGUUGAAUGAGAACGCAAUUAUAUUACUGAAAAUCAUUGUAUUCAAAAAUAUUAGUGUAGUGUAGUCUUCUUACUUGUAGUUGCCUUUCUUAAUUAAUUAUAAUAGUAAAUGUAAUGUUUCUUUUGUCUUCACAGUUUUACUGUUUUAUUCAUUUUUAUCUUUAUGGUGUAGUAAGUGAGCCUUCAUGGAUCGCAAGUCUAGAAUGGAUCACUUUGCUUCUUGAUGAUUAUACUGUUUGCUUUAGUUGAAUAAUUUUAUAUAUAUAUAUUCUAAAUUAAUCUUUACUAUUAGAUGCACUUUAAAUAUAAUUUAAUAAAUCCUUUAUACAGUGUGCAUGUUCCUCUAUCUGAUACAUUGCUUGUGAGCACUAGUUAAAAUACUUAGCCAUUUAAUUUUGCUUUUUUUUUCUUUUCUUACUUCUUUUUAACUUAUUUUCAUUUUUGUCCUUAUCUAAUUCCUCUCCCUAUGGAAUUUACAAACUAAUAAUUUAAAUAAAAUUGAAUUAAAUAGUAAAAUCUUCCUUAAUCACCAAUAUUUCCAGUUUUAUCGUAAGUUUGUAUACAGUCACUUUAGUGUACAUAUUUUGCAAAAAAAUAAAUGAGAAAACGGUGCCACACACAUAGUGUCUGUCUUAUGUGUUUAUAAAUCCUACUUGCCCUGUUGUAAACGUGAUCCAAAAGCACCUCUCAGUUGCUGAACAGAGGAUGUUGGAUUUGGAGACAUGUUGCUGGAAGAUGCCACCAUGAGUAUAUGGCACAAAUGAACAUACUGAGCUCUAGGAUGGAUCUUGUCAUGGGUAACUGUACCUUUGAAGGUCUUGCUAGUCAUACAUGCUACCCACAUUUCUUGGGAAAGACUAGAGUACAGCCUAGAGUAGCUCAGAAUGUGGUCCAAUAGGACAUAUAGAUAAGCAACUAAAUUGGCUUUAAACUCACCUCCAAAGCUCCAACCCACAAAGCUUUGAAGGUUGUUUCCUACAUUGUUUCAUGGUGUGUGAUUCAAGAAAAUACUCCAUGUGAUGAGUAAGGAUAUCCACACAUGUGGGUAGGGUUUGACUGGCUAUCAACUUAAAGAGAUGUCAAAUAUUGUGAAUACUUCAGUUUUAUCUCUACUCAGCAGAGGUGUAAGUGUUCAACUGUGUUUUUCCUUGUAGCCUAUAGAUGUGAUGUUAGUUUAGGCCAAGGGCUGCCAAGUGUUAGCACUUGUGUUUUAAGAGGGUAACGUGAUAAUAGCUGGUGAUAUAGUGAAGAGAGAGUCUUUCAAUUUGUUACUUUGAAGAAGUUUGAUGUAAUACAUUCUGUGCUUUCUAACGUAUGGAGAACCACAUUUUCAACUGAUCCCACUUUUAAACAGAACAUAUAUUUUAUGUCAGAAAUAGCCACUAUUUUUUGUACUAUUUUUCUCCCUGUUGAUUACACUAUAAAACCAAUUUUUAACCUAUAAAAUUAUGGUUAUAUUCGGUGUAACUCAAUAUCUUUAGGUUUUUCUGUCUUUACUCUUCAAGCUGUAGUGUCCUGUUAAAUAAAAUUGAAGUGUAUUCCAAGUUUUUUCUCUAUUCUAUUCUAAAUAGGCUCAUAAAUUUAACUGAAGCAAAAAUUCAGAAUUCCAUCAUAUCUACUUCUCUGGAUAAGACCUCUUUGCCAGUAAUAUGGAGUUAGUCAUGAUAUUUCUCCACUAAAAUUCUGACUCCAUGUUGAGAAGAUUUUUUUAAUUUGAAAUUUGCUGUUAAUAUGAAACAUUUUGUAUUUUAUAUUAAGGUGUCUGGCCUCCAAUCUGAAAUUUUUAAGAAGUCCCAGAAAAGAUAGUAAGACCUUCCCCUGUUAUCAAAUGCCACCGUCAGAAGUUCUCUCACAGUGAUGGAACCUCAAGGACUCUCUCUUUUUACUCAUACAGCUUGUACAGCUAUACCAUCUGGCUUAAUGUCAUUUUUCACCUGAGGCAUCAAGCUAGGUUCAAGGAAAAUGCUUGGAGAAACUUCAAAACUUCAUAUUGGGUGAGGCUCUGUGCUAGAAAUUUGAAUUCAAGUGCCUGGAUUUUUACUUUGGCUCCACAGCCUUCAAAGAAGAACUCAUUGAACUUGUGAUCAGGAGUCCAAUCUCUGCCAUGGAAUGCAGUGCACAGGUCUUCAAAACAUGUGGAGCCCUGCCCACCUGGAUACCCCUGCCCACCUACUGACCUUACAGCCUGCACUGUCAGCAUAUGUAAACCAAUCUUAGAGUUCAAGGGAAAUGGAGCAGAACCAACAAUUUCACAGCCAGAACUGGUGUGGAUUACAAAGCUGCUUACAGGGUUAGCCUUUGAUCACUUGUAGUUCAGCAAGUUUCAUGCUUCCUUUCUACUAUUUGCUCUUUUAUUUAAUGGGUGACUUGUCACUGAGAUGUACAGCUCCAGAUAUUUCUGCAUGGAAUUUUUCCAUUCCCAAGCUCUGUUGAAGGAUGUCCUGGACUACAUCUUUGCAUGUUGUUCUCAAUUGCCGGCCAGUAUUGUAGGACAACCUUUCAGUAAUUUUGUUUUUCAAAAUUCCUCCUUUUAGGAAUCUCACAGUUUUUGAAGCUGUAGUGCCAGGAACCAGACUGCAUGAGGAAAUAGGUGCUUACUUGAAGAGAAAGAUUGAAAGAUUUUGAGAAGUAGUCUCCACAGCAUUACAUAAGCAACAGCAUCAAAGGACAUAGAGCUAUAGGGGACUGCAAGAGAGUGUCUAAAUCCUGCAGCAGUAUCAGAACACACAACUGACUUCUCAGCUCAGUCUAUAACGUAUUAAUCUACAGAGGUCUCUCUUACAGACUCUGAGGUUUUCCCACAGGUAACUCAUCUUCCCUAAGAGGUGAUUGACAAUCUGUCCCUAAAAUUCCCAUAACGCAGGUUCCAUACAUCCCUUGUUAAACCAGUCUGAUUUCAUUGUAGUGUAAUAGAGUUCGUGAUGUCAUCAUUACUCUGAUAUCAGGCCCUGAAUAUGCUGAAAGCCAUAAUAAGGAAGCUGUAUUUAGGGUAGAACAUUUUAAUUCCUUUAAGUGAAUAAGUGCUUUUUUUGCCCAGGUUCAUUAAUUCUUUUCCAAAGAGUAUAUACUAGGGAAUCACAGUCUCCUUUUAUCUGAUUGCCUAACACCAGCUCUGCUGGAUCCUAAAUUUUCCUUGCAUCCCUGUCAUCCCUGAAUUUUCUGAUGAGCCCAUACAUCAAGGCCUGGAUGGGAUCAUAGUUUUAUAGUUAACAUCUUGGUGAAACUUGCAGAAAUAAGCACUCACAGACAAUCAGAUGACCAUUUUUAUUUACACAGUUGACCAUUUUUAUUUGUUUCCUAAUUUUCUUUGGCAAUACUUAUGUCCCCAGUGCAAAUGUAAAUACAGAAGAGAGUAUCUCUGGAACCUGACUUGUCAAAAGAUUUCUUAAAUGAAGAUGUUGUUAACAUCCUACAGAAAAAGCUAAACAAAUAAGGAUGUGUUGAAGCACUGUGAGAAAGAAAACUAUCUAAACGUAUAAAUGAGAAUAUAAUAUUACACCACCAAUAUUCAGGUACUAUAAAAAUAUUUAAUGUUGUAGCAAAGUAUUUUAAAUAUGUCAUGGGACAUCUACCAAAAGAUUGCUUGGCAGUGAACAAACAAAUUGAAAGAAAAUUAAACUUGCGUGCUCAUUCAAAAGAUUAUAAAAUUAGGUCUUUUGCGUGUUCAACUGUGGAGACAUAUUUUAUUAGUAUAUUUCUCUACAGAGAAUAUGAAAUUAAUCUUAAGAGACGAACAAAAUUCACAUGGAUGCAUGUGAUCUGUUGGGACAAAAUAGUGAAUUGAAAGUGAAGAUUAUGGGUAUGAGUUAUGUUCCUGAUUCUGGGGUAACUACACAUGUUAUUCUACCAUUUGUUUUCCCAUUCAGUUCCCUGGGUUUCAAUGCAAUGACUUACAGAAAAAAAAAAAUCAGUUAAACCUGAGGAACUGUGUUAGAUUUUGGAUUGGAAUUUCUCUUAGCCUCAACCUGUUAGACUUUAAGACAGAAUUAACUUUGUUCUUUAUUUUUGUGAAGACAGAAUGCAAAUUUUUUAUUUAUGAACUCCUGCAGAAAUAUUUGGUUUAUGCAAUACCGUACCAAAAGGCGUAAAUUGUUUGGAUGGUUCUUGUCAAAAUAGACUAUACAUUAUGUAGAGAUUCAUAUAUCACUUUUAAGUGCAGUUUUGGGGUUUUUUGCUUCACAGAUUUUCCCAGCUCAGAAGAAUAUCUAGAUCUUAUAGUAUUGUAGCAUGCAGACAGUGAACCAGACUUGUUUGUCUCACUUUACCAAAAGACAUUUUAAUAAAUCUGUCUCUGGACAUGUCUUCAUAUAACUUGAGGAUGGCAUGAACAGCAACAUAUGAGUGCAACAAAACAAGAAGGAUGUAUGAACUACCUAAUGUGAAUUAUAUAUAGAUUAAAAAAAAGAAUAAAGAGACUGUGAGAAAGAGAGAGGAGGCAAAGGAUGAUGACAACAAUCCUGGAAGUCUCUGCACAAGAAGAGGCCCCUGUAUCCAACCUAGCAGGCAAAAAAAUUAGCAGCACUAGAGGUGAGUCAUCCAACCUUCUCUACAGGGUUGGCUUCUGUGCAUAUGUAGGCAUGAGUGUGCAUUUGUGACAUAUGCAAACAGAUCUACCUCACACUGUGGGUCCAGAUAUGACAGCAGUCACUGAAUAUGCUCCAAGACUGAGUAUCACUGAAGAAAAGUUAUUAUAUCUGUUCUGUAUGUCAGACUCAUAAUGACAUCCUGAAAUGUGUUAAACUCCAAGUGAAAGUUGCAAAUGGUUAAGUCCAUCAAAACCAGAAUAAGUUACAAAUCUUACAGUCAAAUAGAAGUGUUCAAUUUUUUAUCUCUGUGAAGUCUGGGAAAAGAGUCUGGUGGUUUGGGGGAGGGCAGUGAAACAAAUGUAGUUAUUAAAAAUAUUAUGUUUUGCUUUUGGACCAAAUCUUCAUGAUCAGACAUAUUUUAUUAAUAAUCUUGUGUUAGAAAGAUAGAUCAAACUCUUAAUAACGGUUUUAAGACAGAUUUUUUUUUUUAUUGUAUUUCAGCUAAAAGGUUAAGCCUUGUGUCUUUUUAUAGGUUUUAUAGCUCCUAGUUAAAAAUACAUAUACCACUUCUAACCAUAAGCGAGAAAAAGGAACACUCUAAAAAGUGCUUUACAGCUACAAAUCCUCAAAUAACCAACAUUUAACACUACCAAAAAGAAAGAAGAGAGCCAAUUUCAGCUCACAGGACAGUGAACUAAACCAAGAAACUCUGUCAGUGAGUACUGUGGCUAGAAGAGCCAGGAGAAGGACUUUCAGAGACAGCACUCACCUAUGUAGAGUGCUGCACAUCAAUCACCUUGCAGGUAAGAUCAAAGACAGUCUGAGCUGAGUUCCUGGUAUAGCCUGCUCCCCCCAGGAAGAGAGAUUCAGUUCUUACACUUUCAGGUGAAUGAACUUAAGGAAUUAAUAGGUCAUUACAGUCUCUAGGCAGUGGGAGUCUAACACCGGCUGGUACUCCAGGUUGGCAAGCUUUGUGAUGAGUGAUCGUGAAUAAAGAGCCUGUCUGAAACUUUUAGGCAGGUGACACUGACCAUUUCAGGAAGAGUUUUUCUUAGAGGCAUGAAAGCUUGUUUUUUAUUCCAUGCUGUUCCUAAAUUCUCAUUCUCCUCUCACCGGAAAGGUGCAUACAAAUUAUGCAGACAUAACCCCAAUAAUAUUUGGCUGAGAAGUAUUAUUCACAGAAAACUAGUGUCCUAUAGAGUAAUUUGGUUCAAAAACACUUUCAGGGUUCAGUGACUUUCUACAUAUGUCAUACUUGCUGUCGUGAAGUAUCAAAUAACUAAUCUUCAUUGUAAUGCUACUCAGCAAACGAGAAGUUAACAUUUGAUUUGCCUUUGGAAACUACUAAAGUGUAAUGACAUUAUACAUAUACUAAGACUGGCCUUUUAUUUCUGAUGAAGUGUACAAAUCAUUCCAGCUUCAUCUUAUGCUGCUUGAUUAAAAUAAGUGGUCUACUACUACACUGGUGGAUAUAAUUUAUUUCAUCUGUUGGAAGCGAAGAGAUUAGCCAUCCUUCAAAUUUUCUUAUCUGGAAAAAGCCCUAGUUUCAUUACUACAAUCCCACAUGCACAUUGUGUUAGGAAACUGAAGAAAUAUACUCUACCCUGCAAACAAAAAGCCUGCAUAAUUUGGUAGGCAGUGAGGACUUUAGUCUUAAUUCCUACCUGUUCCCAGGGUGCUUGUUUAUCUAAAGAAAUCUAAAGUGUCUGGCCACACCUGGAAGCAUCUGGUUUCCAUUCUUCAUUCCACAUAUUCUUACAGUAACUAACUUAAGUCUGGGAGAGAUGUUGUUCUCCUUUUACAGGUGAAAGAUUAGGGUUCAGGGAUAGCGAGUGUCACGGAGGCACCCCGAGGUUAGUUUAAGGGACAACAGGGUCCAAAACAACUUUUAUUAAACCGGUGAGAAACAGGGUUUUAGCACUCCAAAAGUGACUUAAAUACAGGUUCGGAUAUCAGUUGAGGAAAAUUAUUAAGGGGCAGCAACUAAUACAACAGGUGGUCCACAGAGUGCAUGCACGUGGCUUCACUCAAAACAAUGCUGGAGCCAUCCCUGAAUCCCGGAGAAGUACACACUUGCCUAAACACGGUGUGGGAUUAUUUUUAAAGAGAUACACGUACUCGUAGUGAGUAUGGGAAGUAUACACUCGUGAUUCUGCAAGGGUAAAUUUAUAAUACACUUGCAGUCCUGCGAGGGCUAAUUUACUUACACGUGCAAAUGUGCACGGAAUAUUACACGUGCUUAUGUGGAAGCACGGGAGAAAAAUACACUCGCGAUUGUGCGAUGAAAUAAUUUAUACACGUGCUUGUAUUAAGCACGGAAAGUACGCAUGCAAAUGUACAUGGGAAGUUACAUGUGCAAAUGUGCACCGAAGGAAAAUACACCCGUGAUUCUGUAAGGAUUAAUUUUACACGUGCUCAUAUGGAGCAUGGAAAGUUACACGUGCAUAUGUGCACGAAAAGUAUAAAUAUACUCGCAGUCCUGCGAGAAGUUUUACUCACAUCCGUGGCGGCAAGGCAAGCGCAGUCUCCAUCCCGGGGAGGGGGACUCUCGGUGACAGCAUCUUGCUUGUGCUCCGAGAGACCCGCGACAAUGGGUGGAGUCUCGACAAGAAUCCCGUUUUUAUACUGGCUGAUCAGAUCUGACUGUAGGCAUUCUAGAAGCUUCUCUGCACCCCCACACUGGCUGUGGGUGCCCCUGAAGCCUCCAAACAUCCCCCAUACUGGCCACAGGUGCCCAGUGGCUCACUGGCGCCUCGUCACUCCCUUCUCCUAAUGGCCCUGGCCAGGGUGCUCUGGGGCCAAACAAAAGAAGCUGUUAGCCCCAAGUAGCAGAGAGAGAGGGAGAUGUGCUUACUCCUUCCAUACUGAAGGAGGGAGGAGGAGAGAGGGGGGUUUGCAUUCUGCCACAGCGAGUGAUUAACUGAAGUAACAGAUUAUGUUGCAAACAGGGGCUUGAACUCUGCUCCACAGGGUCCAAAGUCUACAUACUGAAUUAACCAUAAAAUAAAUAAUUUGUCUCUAAAUAGGAUAAAUAAACUAUCAUGCUAUAGCCAGCUGGUACCAUAAUAUAAAAAAAAAAAAGCUAACAGUUCCAGGACAAGAUGUGUAUCUGAAUUAUUAUGAUUAAUUUUAUAUUUAUACUGCUUUCUUACUAACAUUUAGGCAUAUAUUUAUUUUGUAGAACUUUCUAGCACAUCACAAAAUCCUUGGGUUGAAAGGGUUUUAGAGGGUUACACAGUCUAUCUCACUGGUCCAAAGCAGAGUUUACUGCACUUUCGCUACCUCUAGAUAAACAUUCACGUCAGACUUCCACUAGUGCAUAUUCCACAGCAUUUCCAGUAACCUGUUCUCAUACUUUACUACCUUUACAUUACAAAGGUUUUCCUGGUAUCUACCCUGAACCUUCCUCACUGUAUUUUAAGAUUCUUCCGUUUACUGUGAACAUGAAGAAUGUUUUAUUCUGUCUCUUAUUGUAAAUUUAUGUAGUGAUUUGUAUACUAGUAACUGCCACGUUCUCCCUCCAGGCUCCUUGUUUUUAGGCUAAGCAACGCAAAUUAAUUAAAUCAUUAACACCUAACCACAUAACUGUCCUUGCUGAUCUGCUGUGGACUUAAUACUUUGGUCCCACACCCUUCUGGAAUGUAUUCCAAGGCAGAUGUCAGUGGAGAUAAGUAAAGAGGAAGGACUUCACAGGCUAAUAAAUAAAACCCCUGCUCAAUACAGAAUGCUACCUGUCUGUCUAUCUAGAUAGCUAUACUUUUUCUUGAGUAAUAUUUUUUGCCAUUUUGAAUGCCAGCCUGUAAAUUCUGCUGCAUGACAGAAAAAAUUGUGGGAGAUGAGGGUUUGUGAGGAGAAAAACUGUCUUGUGUAUCAUUCACUUACAAGGCUGGGUGGGUCCCGCUCACAUUUUUUAUCGGCAUUUAAGCCAGUGUUUGCACAAAUACAUCUUUGUUUCCAAGGCCUCAAGCAAUUUGAAAUUAGCCUCUGUGACUGCUAGCUCUGGAAACUAACCAAGGAAAUGGUUCUUUCUAAAAAUCUAAUAAUGCAAUGAAACCUAAAGUGUCGGGAAUAUUUUAUACAUGAUACUAUGCCUCGCUGUGUUAUUUAUCUUCAUGGAUACUAUACAUUGCUCUUAUGUUAUCCCUUUCAGUAUUGCAAAGAUAAAUGCCUCAGCACUACAGUUCAUUAUGUAUUCCCUCUCUAGGUAUACCUUAUAUAAAAUAGAGAUACAUUACCUAAACAUUGCUGAUGCAAGACAAUUUGGAAACAGUUGCCCAUUUUCUUGGAAAAGGGCUGGUAGCAGUGGCAGAGACCAAAAUCCACAGAGCCAGAGCCAUCCCUAAUCUAGAGAAGCUCAAACACUGGGCUCCUGCAACUUAAUAACAUAUGAGCCAAGGUGGGACCAUGAGAUUCACUGGUUCCCUGAGAUUUCCUUUGUUUCUGGUGUAUUGUCUUACUCUUUGGGAUGGAUGUUUUCCACAGUCUGAUUAGAAUUUUAUUUUUUUUUUUUAAUGGAGAACAGUAUUGAAAAAAUACCAAGUAUGUACCAGCAGGUCUUUGAUGCUUCCCUGCAAGUGGAAAGUGCUGGAAAUGGAGAGAAAGAGUGAUAGGUCAGAUAGCUGCAGAGACCAGUUGUCUCCUGGAAUACACAGUUAGCUAACUCCUUCAGAGGUAUGUGGACCAAAUCAAGAAGAUGAUGGACACAAGAAAUGGAGAAUGAUGAGAAGAAAGUGCAGCAAUCAUCUAUAUUUGGGACAACAGAGCUAAAAGUUUGUCAAGGUAUAUGUAUGCAUGUCACAUGCUACUAAUAAAAGUGAAGAGUGCUUUUAAAUUCA